rnacentral:rRNA from 1 species
UACGUAGGGUGCGAGCGUUGUUCGGAUUCAUUGGGCGUAAAGGGUGCGUAGGCGGCGCGGUAAGUCGGGUGUGAAAUCUCGGAGCUUAACUCCGAAACUGCAUUCGAUACUGCCGUGCUUGAGGACUGGAGAGGAGACUGGAAUUUACGGUGUAGCGGUGAAAUGCGUAGAUAUCGUAAGGAAGACCAGUGGCGAAGGCGGGUCUCUGGACAGUUCCUGACGCUGAGGCACGAAGGCCAGGGGAGCAAACGGG